rnacentral:rRNA from 1 species
UACAGAGGUCUCAAGCGUUGUUCGGAUUCAUUGGGCGUAAAGGGUGCGUAGGCGGCUUAUCAAGUCAGGGGUGAAAUCCGGCAGCUCAACUGUCGAAGUGCCUUUGAUACUGAUGAGCUCGAGGGAGGUAGGGGUGUGCGGAACUUCCGGUGGAGCGGUGAAAUGCGUUGAUAUCGGAAGGAACGCCGGUGGCGAAAGCGGCGCACUGGACCUCUUCUGACGCUGAGGCGCGAAAGCUAGGGGAGCAAACGGG